ACGUUAGUGGCGGACGGGUGGAGUAACGCGUGGGUAACCCUGACCUCGACACUGGGGGAUAGCAGUUGGAAACGACUGAUAAUACCGCAUAAGCACACGAGUACCGCAUGGUACAGCGUGAAAAACUCCGGUGGUGUGAGAUGGACCCGCGUCUGAUUUAGCUAGUUGGUGAGGUAACGGCCCACCAAGGCGACGAUCAGUAGCCGGCCUGAGAGGGUGUACGGCCACAUUGGGACUGAGACACGGCCCAAACUCCUACGGGAGGCAGCAGUGGGGAAUAUUGCACAAUGGGGGAAACCCUGAUGCAGCGACGCCGCCGUGAGUGAUGAAGUAUCUCGGUAUGUAAAGCUCUAUCAGCAGGGAAGAUAAUGACGGUACCUGACUAAGAAGCACCGGCUAAAUACGUGCCAGCAGCCGC
rnacentral:rRNA from 1 species